AGUCCUGCAACGAUUACCGAUUUAAUGGAAUGCUAACGAGAGGUCAAGUAUGCGGUAUGUUGCGCACAUCGUUCACACGUUUCCGUGUGGCUCACCGGAAACUCUGAACUCUCGCCAAGAUAUUUAGUAAUAUUUAUCAAGCUAACACUCUCUCGCAUAUCGAAUGGAAAAUUUAAAUUAAUUUCAAGGUUCAAACUUAUUUCUUAUCCGUGUAAAUCAUAUUGACCAUGAUUUUUUUAAUUCAAACUAAUUUUACAUAUAAUGAAUAUUAAAUAAAGUUUUGUAAUAGCUAUAUUAUGAUGGACAAAUAAACAAUUAAUUAAACAUUUAAAUAAAUUUUUUUGCAUAGAACAAUUUUCUUCAAUAAAAAAUUUUAUAAUUGUAUACUGUAUUAAAAUAUAUUGAAAUAUGAUUAUAAUUUGUAAAAUUUAUAAGAAGAUGAUAAAGGAGGAUAGGAAGAUGAAAAAAAGAGAAUGAGAAAGGAGAGGAGGAGAAAAAGGAGAGUGAUGAAAGAAGAUAACUGAAUAAAGGGAAGAGAAGAAUUGAAAGAGGCGGAAUUGAAAAACAAGAAAGAAUUGAUAAAGGAAGGAAGAAGAAUUAAUAAAUGAUUGUGUGAAUAGGAAUUGAUAAGCAAAGGAAGAAUUGGGAAGAGGAUGAUACAAAAGAAAGAAGAGAAAGGAGAGUGACAAAAAGGAAUUGAAAGGAAGAAAGGAAGAAUGAUGAAGGAGAAGAGAGAGAAAGAAUUUGACGAAGGAAAUGUUUGACAAAGAAGAAGAAGAAUUUAGACAAAAAAGGGGAGGGAGAAACAGAAUAUAGAAGCAAAAGAGAAGGAGAAAGAGGAGUGAAAGCAAAAAAAAGCAGGAGAACGAAAAAAAUGAUAAAGGACAAGAGGAGAAAAAAGAAAAUAUGAUAUAGUGUGAUUAUUUGUAUUGUUUGUAUUGUAGAAUUUGGAAUUUGAUAGAAUUAUUUGAUAUAUAAAAUAUUCUGAGAUUAAUAGAUUCUAUAUAAUUUGUAACUUUUAAUAAUAUUUAGAUAGAUAAUGUCCACAUUGAAACUAUGGUACAGAUAGCAAAUUUCAUAUUGAUAUUUAUUCAAAUUUUUAAUACCAAGAUUAUAUUUGAGAAUGUGAACGAGCGAAAGUUUUUUACACAAGUUGCAGACUUUUGUUGAACUUCGCAUUUGUGAAAGUGGAUCUCAAAUAUGUAUAUACAUGAUGGAAUUUAAAAUUUGUGUGAAGAUAGAUGUUUCGUAUAAAUCAUAACACGUAGGAAACUAUUGAGUAGAAGAUAUUUUAAACAAUGUAAAUAUGUAUUAUUGAUGAAUGUUUAGAAAUAUUUGUAAACUUUGAAGCGGCGCAUCUAAUUGCAUAUCUUUAGCUUUUCAUUCCUUGAUUAUCACGAGGCAGCAGUUAUUUGCAUACGUCGCAUAUCUUCGUUUCAGCGUUUCGAGAGAAACGAGGUCACAAUCAGUGGACUGAGAUAAUAAGUAAAAAAAGAAGUAGAUACUAAUUUGGAUGAUAAUAAUGGACGAGAUCCAAUCUACAAUAUGUAAGAGUUAUUUUCAUUACGUUGCAUCAUCUAAAUAACACCAUAAUUCAAAAGAUAAUUAAUCAAACGAUUAUCGGAUUGUGGUAGUAAUGCUUAAAGAGAUAACGAUGAAGAUUUUCUUGUGUAAUGGUAACUGGAUGCAUUCCUGUGUUAUCUAUGGAACGCAGUAUUCAAGUAUUGAGUCACAUAACAUGGUAUUGGCAUUUCGAUGCACAUAUGUGAUAUUGCAGUCUGUUGUCAAAAUGGUUCAUUUCGUAAUUAAUAAUAUGUUAAUGAAAGUAAUUUUUAUGAAAUUUUCAAAUUAUUAAUAAAUUAAAUUAAUAAAAUAUAUAAUUUGUUAUUAAUAAAUUUGUAAAAUUAGUAAAAUUUUAUUGAUUAGAGAUCUAUUAGAAAUGAGAUUACGUGUAUAUUUCAUUUAUUAAGCUCAAUAAUUUUUCCUUUAACACUAUGAAGACAGGCUAAUUUCAACUAUAAUUUAGAUAA